rnacentral:rRNA from 1 species
CGCGAAACCAGGCGAGCUACUGACAUACGUAUAGUGGUACAGCGUAUGUUGCAUAAUAUUACAAGAUAAGUCAGUAGGAGUGAAAGGCUGUCAAGUCUGGUGAUAUCUCGUAACCUCUGAAACGUAUCAAGUACAUCGUCGAUUUAUUAGUGAUAAGGCUAGUAAAAGAUAUGUAUCGUGUUGAACAGCAUAUUACAUAGUUUAAUCGCUAGUAACUUAAUGCAAAAUUAUAACUUUUUAUAAAUAAUAGUACCUAAGGGGUUCUAGUAAAUUACCACGAAUAUUAAUACUGUGAGUAUAAGUAAUUAAGGUAUUAUUGAUGAACUCGGCAAUAUUUCUUUCAACUGUUUAUCAAAAACAUCGCCAGUAGAAUACACUAUUGGUUAUUUCUGCUCAAUGUAUCAUAAAUAGCCGCAGUACCCUGACUGUGCAAAGGUAGCAUAAUCAUUUGGCUUAUAAUUGAAGUCUGGCAUGAAGGAAGUCAUGGGGGAGAACUCUAUUGAUGAUAAUGAUUGAAUUUAUUUAGAGGGUGCAAAGACCCUUGAACAAAUAAUAGACGAGAAGACCCUAGAAAUUUUGAGGACAGGUAUUCACCACUUUUUGUUGGGGCAACAACGUAGCACGUAACCUACGGUAACAACAUGUCAUGUUUUAGUAAGAGCAAAUUACUCUAGGGAUAACAGCGUAAUUCUGUUGAGUUUGCGACCUCGAUGUUGGACUAGGAAGCAGUUGCUUAGAA